rnacentral:rRNA from 1 species
AGAGUUUGAUCCUGGCUCAGGACGAACGCUGGCGGCGUGCCUAACACAUGCAAGUCGAACGGAGAUAAAGAUUUCGGUUUUUAUCUUAGUGGCGCACGGGUGAGUAACACGUGAAUAACCUGACCCAAAGAGGGGGAUAACACCUGGAAACAGGUGCUAAUACCGCAUAAGACCACAAUGUCGCAUGACGAAGGGGUCAAAGAAAAUCGCUUUGGGAGGGGUUCGCGUCCCAUUAGGUAGUAGGCGGGGUAACGGCCCUCCUAGCCGACGAUGGGUAGCCGAGCUGAGAGGCUGAUCGGCCACACUGGAACUGAGACACGGUCCAGACUACUACGGGAGGCAGCAGUGGGGAAUAUUGGGCAAUGGGCGCAAGCCUGACCCAGCAACGCCGCGUGAGGGAAGAAGGUUUUCGGAUUGUAAACCUCUGUCGCAGAAGACGAAGGAAGUGACGGUAUUCUGUGAGGAAGCCCCGGCUAACUACGUGCCAGCAGCCGCGGUAAUACGUAGGGGGCGAGCGUUGUCCGGAAUUACUGGGCGUAAAGGGAGCGUAGGCGGUCUGAUAAGUUGGAUGUGAAAUACCCGGGCUUAACUUGGGGGGUGCAUCCAAUACUGUUGGACUAGAGUACAGGAGAGGAAAGCGGAAUUCCUAGUGUAGCGGUGAAAUGCAUAGAUAUUAGGAGGAACAUCGGUGGCGAAGGCGGCUUUCUGGACUGCAACUGACGCUGAGGCUCGAAAGCGCGGGGAGCAAACAGGAUUAGAUACCCAGGUAGUCCACGCUGUAAACGAUGAAUACUAGGUGUAGGGGGUAUAAACUCCCUCUGUGCCGCAGCAAACGCAAUAAGUAUUCCGCCUGGGGAGUACGGCCGCAAGGUUGAAACUCAAAGGAAUUGACGGGGGCCCGCACAAGCAGCGGAGCAUGUGGUUUAAUUCGACGCAACGCGAAGAACCUUACCAAGGCUUGACAUCCACUUAAAGUUAUGGAAACAUAAUGUCCCUUCGGGGGAAGUGAGACAGGUGGUGCAUGGUUGUCGUCAGCUCGUGUCGUGAGAUGUUGGGUUAAGUCCCGCAACGAGCGCAACCCCUGUUGCCAGUUGCCAGCAAGUAAAGUUGGGGACUCUGGUGAGACUGCCGGGGACAACUCGGAGGAAGGUGGGGAUGACGUCAAAUCAUCAUGCCCCUUAUGUCUUGGGCUACACACGUGCUACAAUGGCUGUAACAAAGGGAAGCGACCUUGU